CUCACUUUCUAAUUCAUAAUCUAUAUAAUCUAUCUGCAUAUAUUCUGUAUUAUCAAUUUUUAUUUCUGAUAUUUGUUUAUUUUUUGGAUUUUUAGGUAAUUUACAAUCUCUAGCUAAAUGUCCUAACUUUCCACAAUUAUAACAAGUACAUUCUUUUAUAGAUUUCUUCUUUCUAUAUGGUCUUUUAUAUUUAUAAUUUUUUACAUAAUAUCUUUUUCUUGGUUUCUUAUAUUUAUAUUUUGAUUUUUUAUAUUUCUUAUAUUUCUUAUGUCUUUUUCUUUUCUUAUAAUAUCUUUCUUCGCAUCCAAAUUGGGG
rnacentral:lncRNA from 1 species